ACUCCAAGCACUCUGCCUGACACCAUAACCACUGCAGACCCCACGAACCGCCGCAGCUUGGUUGGGAUCUCGCCGUCUCCACCCACUCUGGACCCAGGACCAGGGUCCAGCUUCCAGCAGGUCGACCUCUCUCCGAAUUCCAGAGAGCAGGAACAGGAACAAGCUCUUAGCAGAGCUUAGUGAUUAUACCCUGGGGAGUAUAGUGAUUAUAGCAAUCCCCAGAGUGUAGUUUCUCCAAUCCCCCAAACAUGAGCCGAAACUUCAUGAAGGUACAAGAUGAUCUGUUUAUUGGCACACACAGAACCUUCUUUUAUGCAGGUCCCCAUGCAAGGGGACAUCCCACUGGGUGGGACACAGUACAACCAAUCACACAAUGGUUACAUCCCAC